GACGGAAGGUGCAAGCGUUGCUCGGAAUCACUGGGCGUAAAGGGUGCGUAGGCGGCCGUGCAAGUCUGGCGUGAAAGCCCCGGGCUCAGCCCGGGAAGUGCGCUCGAAACUGCGCGGCUCGAGUGCCGGAGGGGAGAGUGGAAUUCCUGGUGUAGCGGUGAAAUGCGUAGAUAUCAGGAGGAAUACCGGUGGCGAAAGCGGCUUCCUGGACCAGCACCGACGUUCAGGCACGAAAGCGUGGGGAGCAAACAGG
rnacentral:rRNA from 1 species